rnacentral:rRNA from 1 species
UACGUAGGGUGCAAGCGUUAAUCGGAAUUACUGGGCGUAAAGCGUGCGCAGGCGGUUGUGCAAGUCAGGUGUGAAAUCCCCGGGCUCAACCUGGGAAUUGCAUUUGUGACUGCACGGCUAGAGUGUGUCAGAGGGGGGUAGAAUUCCACGUGUAGCAGUGAAAUGCGUAGAGAUGUGGAGGAAUACCGAUGGCGAAGGCAGCCCCCUGGGAUAACACUGACGCUCAUGCACGAAAGCGUGGGGAGCAAACAGG